UACACACAAGGAUGUCUGCCUAUGCGUCGAUGGGACGAGCUCAAUGCGUUCUUCCGUAAAACUGGAGCUAAAGUCAUCUUUGGACUGAAUGCACUCUCGGGGCGUUCCAUAAAACCUAACGGUGAAGCCAUAGGAGCCUGGGAUUCCACCAAUGCUGAAUCUUUUAUCCGGUUUACAGCACAGAAUAACCACACCGUAGACGGUUGGGAGCUCGGCAAUGAGUUGUGUGGAAGUGGUAUUGGUGCAC